UCUGCAACUCGACUACAUGAAGCUGGAAUCGCUAGUAAUCGCGAAUCAGAAUGUCGCGGUGAAUACGUUCCCGGGUCUUGUACACAUCGCCCGUCACACCAUGGGAGUCGGAAACGCCCGAAGCCAGUGACCCCAACCUGAGAAGGAGGGAGCUGUCGAAGGCGGGGGCCGGUAACUGGGGUGAAGUCGUAACAAGGUACC
rnacentral:rRNA from 1 species